GUGACGGGCAACGACUAUAUAGGUGUUGUAGAGGAGACAUUGGCGCAUCGUUUAAGAAAAUGUCCAGAGUGGUUUAUGUUCGAAAAUCUGAAGUUACGGUUAAAAAAACUGAAAAUUUUAUUGUGAAAUUGACAAAAUGAGAUUAAGGGGGUAGGGCACUAAAAGAAAAAUUUGGAUCAUUUUAAAGAGAUUGUGACGGACAACGACUAUAUAGGUGUUGUAGAGGAGACAAUGGCGCAUCGUUUAAGAAAAUCUCCAGAGUGGUUUAUAUUCGAAAAUCUGAACUUACGGUUAAAAACUGAAAUUGUGAAAUUGACAAAAUGAGAUUAGGGGGUAGGCCAAUUUAAGUUAAUUUUGGACCAAUUUCAAGAGAUUUUGACGGGCAACGACUAUAUAGGUGUUGUAGAGGAGACAAUGGCGCAUCGUUUAAGAAAAUCUCCAGAG